CAGUCCGCAUGUUCAUAGUGCCAGCAUUUGUUAUGGAAUAUGUUGAUCAAACCUGGAGAAGCGUCAGCUCAAGAUGUUAUCAUCGGACUUGAGAUAUGACUGCACUAUGCUGUUGCUGUGACUCCAGUUAAUUCUACAAGACAUGCUGUGACAACAGGAGAGAUGGGUCCUCCGUCACAGAUGGUGUGGUCAGUGAAGAUGGUCGCCUGCAGGUUCAAGCUCAUUGCAUCUCCAACCCACAUCCACUGCCACUCUACUUAAGGGAAGUUAAAGACUAGAGCAGGGCGAUAUGGCCAAAAAUAAUUAUCACCAUAUGUAUUUGAAAAUUUGCGAUAACGAUAUAACUGACGAUAUAAUUGAUGCGAGACAAA